rnacentral:misc_RNA from 1 species
AGCCAUUCUAAUCCUAUUACACCUGUGAAUUUUUCUUUUUUUGAAUAAAAAAAUUAUUUUGCUUUGGUCCUUUAACCGGGGCCAAAGGUUAUACCAAACACCUAUUUUUUUAACCUGAGUCUGAAAUUGAAAAAUUUUAAUAAAUCAAAACUUUCAACAACGGAUCUCUUGGUUCUCGCAUCGAUGAAGAACGCAGCGAAUUGCGAUAAGUAAUGUGAAUUGCAGAAUUUUGUGAAUCAUCGAAUCUUUGAACGCACAUUGCACCCCUUGGUAUUCCGAGGGGUAUACCUGUUUGAGCGUCAUUUCUCUCUUAAACCUUUGGGUUUAGUGUUGAACUGAUUUUUCCUAACGGGGGGAAACAGUUUGAAAUGAAAUGGCAAGGCGAAUUCUCCCUAGCAUUACAGUGUCUUAGGUUUUACCAACUACGCUGGACUUGCAAGAGAAUUUUAUGCCGGGCGGUAUAAAACUUUUUUACAAG